rnacentral:rRNA from 1 species
CCUACGGGCGGCUGCAGUGAGGAAUAUUGCUCAAUGGGCGAGAGCCUGAACCAGCCAAGUAGCGUGAAGGAUGAAUGCCCUCCGGGCUGUAAACUUCUUUUUUAAAGGAAUACAUUCAGGCAAGUGAGCAUUUUUGUCUGUACUUUAUGUAUAAGGAACGCCUAAAUUCGCUCCAGCCGACGCGGUAAUACGGAGGAUCCGUGCGUUACCCGGAUUUGUUGGGUUUAAGGGGAGCGUAGCUGGGUGUUUAAGUUAGUUGUGAAAGUGUGCGGCUCAACCGUAAAAUUGCAAUUGAUACUGGCAGACUUGAGUACAGAUGAGGUAGGCGGAAUUCGUGGUGUAGCGGUGAAAUGCGUAGAGAUAACGAGGAACUCCGAUUGCGAAGGCAGCUUACUAAACUGCCACUGACAUUGAUGCGCGAAAGUGUGGGUAUCAAACAGGAUUAGAUACCCCUGUAGUC